CUCAUUGUUCUGGCUCCUGGAGGAAGAAGAAGGGAAUGGAAAAAGAAGGAUGGUUACUGGCCAUAGCAUGAAGCCACAGAGGAUCUCUCACCACUUUCUUGGCAUGCUUUGGAUGAAUAAGGGAGAGAAAAUAGAGAAGAUGACAGCAGGGGAAAUAUUUGCUGUUGUGGUUGGAGCGCCACUCAGAUCCCAAAAAUGAGGCCCGGGCAUAUUUGUGCAGCUGUCCAUCUCCCAAGAGUGGCGUGUGGAAAGGGAAAUCCAUCUGUCUUUCUUGGAUAAAGAUGCCAGAAACAUGGAAGGAAGAGAGACUGCAUUCCAAAAGAGGCUGGAGAAGGA